GCUUCCAGGGAGGUGGAGAGAGUCACAAAUAACAUGUCUGGAGAGCUGGGUCUGGUCCUGAGUCUAUCUGUGAACACACCUGGGGCAAAGCUAUAUUUCUGGACUGUAACAUUCUCUUGGCAGGUCCUGGACCACCUUCCAGAUGACUGAGGCCCUGGUGGGCCAUGAGCUUCCCUCAAACCUGCACAUUUGAGAACAAGAUGUAGAACUCUCAGCUCCUCCAGCCCCACAUCUGCCUGGAUGCUGCCCUGCUCCCACCUUGAUGAUAAUGGACUGAACUUCUAAACCUGAGCUGAAAGAGAAUAGCAGCACUGGCCGGGCUGACAAGAAGAGUGAUGGGGUGGAGGCACCGGCUGCUGAGGGGCCAGAGAAGUCUUGGGGAAGUUUCCAUAUGUGACUACUUUCUGAAAAGACUUGGAUCCAACUGCGCUCUUUUUUGGACCUAGCUUGUUCCUUGCCGAUCCAAUAGGUCUCAAGUGGCCCAUAAAAUUUUUACUACAUUUUGUCCACCCGUGGAUACUGUGACCUAACGUGACCCAAUCAGGGAGCUGUUUGGCAAUGUUUUCAGAGGGGACCAGAACGUCCUGGGGCUGUGGCCGAAUUGACAGUGUUUGCUUUAAUCAGGAAUGAUGGCUUCUGGUGGGAAUCAGAGGCAGGUGGUGCAGAGAGCCGUGAACUUUGUCACAGCACAGUGACUUCUGUAAAAUUCACAGCAGUUCCUUCCAACUCUUUCUGGAUGAGCAGUGGGGACUACAAAUGUCUGGUGAGCUGCAAGGAAUGACGGGUACAGUGUCUGGUUUUAGUCUUGAACUCGGGCAGGGAAGUUUGCAUGGGUUAAACCAUGGAUGGCCGCAGUUGUUUGAGAAUAUUCUACUCUGUCAUUUUGAUUGAAUAACUCAGAGAAGUAAAUGGAAAUACAUGAGAAA
rnacentral:lncRNA from 1 species